rnacentral:tRNA from 1 species
GGUGGCUCAAAGGUAGAGUUCUUGCCUUGCAUGCAUGAAGCCCUGGGUUCGAUUCCUCAGCACCA